CGGACGGGUGAGUAACACGUGGAUAACCUACCUAUAAGACUGGGAUAACUUCGGGAAACCGGAGCUAAUACCGGAUAAUAUUUUGAACCGCAUGGUUCAAAAGUGAAAGACGGUCUUGCUGUCACUUAUAGAUGGAUCCGCGCUGCAUUAGCUAGUUGGUAAGGUAACGGCUUACCAAGGCAACGACGCAUAGCCGACCUGAGAGGGUGAUCGGCCACACUGGAACUGAGGCACGGUCCAG
rnacentral:rRNA from 1 species